rnacentral:misc_RNA from 1 species
GCACCUGCAAUAACAUCAGCCAAUUGGUGUUUGUAAAUUUAAACUCACAAGGCAAUGAGAAGAAGAAGUAGGAGAGGCUUGUUCUCAAAUUAUGCAAUCAAGCAGAAAAACUCUGCAAAUUCAAGAUAAAAAUAAAUUGCUCAUAAAACUCAAUUUGUUUGAAGAACUAUAAUUCCUGAGGGACAAAUUCAUUAUUCACCUUAAGUUACAAUAAAGAUUUUCAACAAGCAAUUCAGAAUGAAGGAGAAGUUGAAUGUAAUGCUUCAAAUAGAAGAAUAAACUAGAACAAUGAGAAGACUAACUUUUACUUCUGCCUUCUUCAUC